AGUAACCAGGGCAGAUGCUCCUGCAAACAGCUGGGCCAGCCCCAGCGCAGCCACUGUGUAGCGGAAUUGCAUUCAAGCCUGUGAAACAAGGAGCAAUCUGGGGAUAAGGAACACAGGAGGGUUUUUCUCUUUCUUUUUCUUUUUCGGUUUUCCAGAAGGACCUGAGACCUGCUCGGCCGGCUGGCAGAAUCUCUUACAAACUUAGCAGAAUCUUUUUGUCCAAAGAAAAGGAUAGCCACUGACUACCUCUGGAGCAGCUGCUGCUGGAAACCAGGCUCAUGGCAACCUACUGGGCUGACUCCCCAUCUUAAGGGACAUGGCAACGGAGAACUCGGUGCUUUCGGGAAAAAGAAAAAAAAAUUAUAAGCUGAGAAGGCAAAGCUGACAGAGGAGUUUCCACUUUUGAGCUUCUUCUGGCUUCUCAGAAGCCCGUGUUGCCCUUGAAGCUAGUUUCCUAGAGUAGGGGAGGUUCCUGGGAGUCUGCAAGCCACCGCAGUUAUCUGGUUAGCGAUCAGAAGGUUCUUGGUGCUGCCCCAGCUGGGAUUCCUUCCAAACCAUGUCUGCACCACCUGUAACUCUUCACUCCACUAGCUUGCCAGAGACCAUCCCAAGCCUGGGGGAAUGUGGGGCGCUGCCAUUCCACAAAGAACCACCAGCCAACCUUGGCUGAAGAAGGACAACCGUGUACAUUGCAAAGGAGUUGGAGCUUCCAGCUAAGGGCACCUAGCCAGGCCUGGUAUGCAAAUCUGGGAUUUGUGCCCAGGGAACCUGCCCCAACUUGCCCAGGAGAGAGCAAGGCCAGAAGAGGAUGGGAAAGGUUCUCAUUCUCCACCUCCCCCAAGCCCCAGCCAGCCCCAGCCAGCCCCAGCCAGCCCCAGCCAGCCCCAGCCAGCCCCAGCCAGCUCCAGCCAGCUUCACCCAGUUUCAGAAGCCUUUGAAGUUCUGGGCCAGGAGGUAUGGCCAGUAUAGAUCUGGGGAUGUUUGUUUGUUGUGAGUUGUUCUAUUUUUCGGUAUCUUGAUCUCUAGAAGACACAAGCUUUGGAAAUAGAAGUCUAGUUCAAUCUUGGCCUUGUACUGGCUUUAUAAGCCAAAGAAAGGUUCUCUGAACCUUUGUGUUAUCUGAAAUUUUUAAUAACCCUAACCUAGAGAAUCAAACCCUCAGCGCUGUUGAAAUUUUAGUCUAGUUAUUAGUUUAGGGGUAAUUGGGUCCCUGCCCACUAGACACCAGAACUCUCACCCUCCCACUUAUGACAGCUAAAACCAAUUUCAGACACUGACAAACUAUUCUCCAAGGGAAGAGACUAAAUUACACCCAGCUGAGAACCAGUUACCUAACUCAAUCUGUAGGUUUGUGUUGCGCACAUUUUAUUGUAAAUCCGGAGUCCGGUUCUUAUGAGCAAAUGCAAGAACACUUGAGGAUUCGUAAUUGGUACUGCAAACUCUUCUCCCCACAUUUCCCCUCUCCCCCACUGCUUCAGCACUCAUCCAAAUCCACAGAUAGCCACUUCCAGGAGCCCUGAGCCUCUCUGGCAUCAAAGUGCAGUGAGUCUGAGCACAAAGCAAGGUGCAAGUUUAUCCCUCAGAAGUAGACAUGAGAGACAGUAACAAGCCAGCUUCCUAGCUCUUCGAUAAGCCCGAGGUGUGUUCUACUCCUUUCAGGAGUAUCCAGUGAGACCACAGUGGGAACUGGCUUCCCAGUCUCACCUUCUGCUCCCCAACUUAUUCCCUAGGCUUGCUUCCCAAAUGCUUUCACAACAUCCUCUGCCAUUCAUGGUUUUUAAAAUAAUAAACUAAGACAUAAAAACUGUACCUCUUAUUUCUAUCAGUAUUUUAUUUCUCAUUCACCAGGUUUCUUAUUAGUUCUUAGCUGGAUUGUAGGGUUUCGAAACUGUAAUGUUUUGUUUUUGUCUUUUAAAUUCUUAUGAUAAGUCAGAAUAACUGAUCUGCUAAAAUGAGGGUCUUAACAGAGGCAGAUAAGAGUCUGAAAUUCUUAUUUCUCAGUUUGACUUAGACCUCAUCUAUCCCUUUCACCCUCACCCAAAACACACACACACAAACUCACACUCAUACAAAGUUGUCAGUUGUUGAUUUACAGGAAUAAGGAUAACAUGACAGCCUCUUUGAAGCAUUGUUUCAAAGGAAAAACCAAAGUUUUUGUUAACAAAAAAGCAUCAUUUUUCUGAAUCCCUAAAAUGAGUUGGGC
rnacentral:lncRNA from 1 species